AUAUCACAGAGGCUCGUGUAGCUGGGUUGGUUUCUUUCUGAACAUUUCAGGUUGAAGCGGUCAGUCAGCAUUUUUUUGCUGUUGUGUUUUUGGUAUGCUCAUGAAAAGGCCUGAGAAAAAGGCGGAACAAAGAGGCACCUGCCAGAAUAAUGAGCCCUCAGAGAGACACAGCCGGCUGAUGAUGGAACAGCUUGUGGUCAGAGAUGAUCUGUAUACACACCUCAUAUCACUCUGGAGUGGCUGCCUGGCCUGCAGAGCAGCAGCAGCAGCAGCAGCAGCAGCAGCAGCAGCUUAAUGGCCUGCAGCUCAAACUGAGCAUCAUUAUCAUUCCAGCUGGGAGAUCUUGGCAUGCACUGGGAAGCAUGACAAGACAGCUACACGUCUCCCCUGAUCUCAGUAAAAAAUGUCUUUUAUUUAAAGUUCAAGCAGCAGUGAGAAGAUUAAAAACAAUGUUUCAGGCCAAUAAAAAGCCUGACAUGUUUUCACCCAGAGAAACGGAGAGAAAUCUCUCCUGCUGCAGGUAAAAGUUUUUUCAACUCUGUCCCUCCCUAAAGUGCUAUUUGCCUUGCAGGAAAAUAUAUGAGACUGUACUGAAGUAGAUGGAAGCAUUCCCAGAUAAAUGCAUUAUAUCUCAAGAUAUGUUCAUUUCAUUAUCCAUCAGAAAAAAGCUCUUUGGCUGAAUGAACAUUAUUUUAAAUGUAGUUCUGCCAGGAUUCUGAAUAUUCUUAGCGUUGUUCACAAUGUAGACCAAAAAGUGUAUAAAAAAGCCAGUGGACAAAUGUGUUGUAUUGAUUGAUUGUAUAGUCUGUCCCAAAGUAAAAAAUAGUUUUGGUAUUAAAUCUGUAUUGAUGCUUUC